rnacentral:lncRNA from 1 species
AUGGUGGAUAUAAGUGAUUUUUUGCGUGGCCGAGGGGUCCCCGAAGAUGCUGUUUUAUUAAUGGAAGAGCAGAAGAUUGACUGUGACGUCAUAGCACUGAUGGAUGACGCAACUUUGGCAAACUACAUUCCCUCGUACGGAGACCGAAUUGCCCUCUUCAAUUUCUGCAAAAGCAAGCAACCACUGUCAAAAAGAAAACUAGGACUUCUGCAAAAACUUCGUGAGAAAAUGAAAACCAGAAAAGAAAGUCCAAAGGAGAACACCUCACAUACAGAUGCAGGAAUAAGACAGACAAAGAAGCAAAAAGCAACACGAAAUGUUGAGAUAGGAUGGAUACAUAGUGAUGGAAAAGUAGCCAAACAGGUGAGAGCGAAGCAGGGAGGUGGCACUAGAAAAAUUCAAAUGGCCACUGAUGCUGGAUUAAAAGAUAUUCUUCAAGAAGGAAAGAAACUUUUUUUUCCUGAUGGCAUAUCUCCUAAGGGAUGUGAAACAGAUUUUGAGUUUGAGGUUUGGGACUUUAAACAGAACCACCUUACUGAUGAUACCUGCCAGUCUAUUGGCAAUAUGUAUGAGGCAGCGAGACUGACAAUGUUACGCUUCUACAUCGCAACAAAACCAAAAGAUCCUGAAGAAGAUGCCAGCGAGACAUCUGAAGUGGUGUUUGUCUCAGAAAGCAGUGGCAGUGAUAGUAAUCCAUUGCAAGUGGGGGAAGUCAGGGGUAAUUUUGAUGAAGUCAUCACUGGUUCAGAAAUUUCAGAUGAUCCAGAAAUAACUUUUGGGCCAAUUUUUGAUGCUGAAGAAGAUACAGAAGACACAUUAGUCUAUGAGGGUUUUCUUGUACCCCUCAGUCCACCUAAUUCAGAGAACGUAAUAACAAUCACCAUACGUCAUACUGACACUUUACGUGACAUGAUUACUGCUUUCUCUGAUGCAGAGAUUUUGAGAAAAACACUGAAUGUGAAGCGCAUACUUCCAGACAACACAGAAGAACCAGGCACUGGAUCAGGAAUACUAAGAGAUGUACUCACAUGCUUCUGGCAUGAAUUUUAUGAGCGAUGCACCCUAGGUGCAACAGUUAAAGUGCCAUUCAUUCGCCAUGAUUUUCCUGCUGAAAAAUGGAAGGCAGUUGGGCGAAUACUCUUGAAAGGUUAUGAAGAAUGUCAGUAUUUUCCAAAUAAACUUGCAAUCCCUUUUCUGGAGCAAGUGCUUUUCAAUGGUGUUUACAGUGAUCUUAAAGCACACUUUCUACAGUUUGUCAGCAGCCAAGAAUGUGAUGUUUUGAUGGAAGCAGUAAAAAAUUUCUCUGCAGUUGACUUGGAUGAUCUUGUGGAAGUUCUUGACAGCUAUGGCUGUAGAAAAAGAAUCACUGCUGAGACUCUUCCUACAAUCCUUGAUGAAAUAGCACACAAAGAACUUGUCCAAAAACCAAUGUUUGUUAUUGACUGCUGGAGGGAGAUCAUCAACCCCCAUAUCUCCCUCAGUCCGGAGGCACUGACCAAGUUAUUCUCUGAACUGCAACCAACUUCAAAAAAAGUGUGCCAGCUCCUGAAAUUUGCUGUGGAUUUGACUCCACAACAAAAAGAAGUGAAAAAUCAUCUCAAAAGAUUCAUCAGAGAGUUGGAUAACAUUAAACUUCAGAAAUUUAUGCGUUUCUGCACCGGAUCUGACCUUAUAGUAACAAACAGUAUUUAUGUGGAAUUUCAAGAUAUGACAGAGUUUACAAGAAGACCAGUCGGACACACGUGUGGGAAUGUUCUGCAGCUAGCUAACAGCUAUGAAAACUUCCCAGAUUUCCGUUCUGAAUUUAAUGCAGUUCUUGAAAGUAAUGUCUGGGUGAUGGACAUUGUUUAG